GCUUAAAAAACAUUGUUUCCAAGCCAGUAAAAUUCAUAAAAAAAACCGGCAAAAAAUUAAGAAGCAAAAGAUUGCCGCGUAAAGUAUUGAACCAAAAUAAACAUGUUUAAUUCGAAAUUAAGCAGUUUCGUGGGUUCACCUUGAUCUCCGAAGAUUGUAGAGUUGUAACGAGCGGCGGUUGCCCACCGAAACAAGCCCAAAUCCUACGCCUACGAUCGAAACUGGACAAGUCGCUUCAUGGAGGUCACAUUAAACACGAAGUCGGCUACAUAUGCAGUGGAGACUUCCCCCUCAAAUAUUGAAGUGCACUGAAGAAUAAAAGUUGUCCGUGAACCCUGACAAUAGCCGUAAGCUUUUCUAAUCACGAUUAUAUUUCUAUGUACUGAUGCGACAGGGCGAUCGCGGGAAGGUGAGCGGGGAAGCGGGCGGAGCGCCGCAUUCCAGCGAGCACAAGAUUCGUUGUAAGGAAGAAAUCACCUUAGAUCUUUGCAGCAUUUGGCCAGUUCCAAGAUCUCCCUGGUUCCUCUGACGUUGAUGAAUGUGGCCUUCUUCAGUGGCUCUUCGAACCUGGUCGUGGCAGCCACAUGGAAUAUCACAUUCACCUAAAAUUCAUUCUUAACGAUAACGUCAGUUUUGUAAAUCUUGGAUGUCGAUUUGAAACUAUGAAAUAUACAUGUACACACUUGACAAGUGCUGGGAUGUAAUUAGGAUGUACUUGUACAGAAAGAUCAAACGGCUGUUUAUAGCUGGGUUUAUAUAAGACAGUAAAAUGUCAUCAACAUUAA